GGUUUAUCAAGUCUGUUGUUAAAGCUCACAGCUCAACUGUGAAUCGGCAAUGGAAACUGAAAGACUAGAGUGUGGUAGGGGUAGAGGGAAUUCCUAGUGUAGCGGUGAAAUGCGUAGAUAUUAGGAAGAACACCAGUGGCGAAGGCGCUCUACUGGGCCAUAACUGACACUGAUGGACGAAAGCUAGGGGAGCGAAAGGGAUUAGAUACCCCUGUAGUCCUAGCUGUAAACGAUGGACACUAGGUGUUGGCCGUAUCGACCCGGUCAGUAUCGAAGCAAACGCGUUAAGUGUCCCGCCUGGGGAGUACGCACGCAAGUGUGAAACUCAAAGGAAUUGACGGGGGCCCGCACAAGCGGUGGAGUAUGUGGUUUAAUUCGAUGCAACGCGAAGAACCUUACCAGGGUUUGACAUCCUACGAACUUUCCAGAGAUGGAUUGGUGCCUUCGGGAACGUAGAGACAGGUGGUGCAUGGCUGUCGUCAGCUCGUGUCGUGAGAUGUUGGGUUAAGUCCCGCAACGAGCGCAACCCUCGUCCUUAGUUGCCAUCAUUAAGUUGGGCACUUUAAGGAGACUGCCGGUGACAAACCGGAGGAAGGUGGGGAUGACGUCAAGUCAUCAUGCCCCUUACAUCCUGGGCUACACACGUACUACAAUGCAACGGACAAAGGGCAGCCAACUAGCGAUAGUGAGCUAAUCCCAUAAACCGUUGCUCAGUUCAGAUUGCAGGCUGCAACUCGCCUGCAUGAAGGCGGAAUCGCUAGUAAUCGCAGGUCAGCAUACUGCGGUGAAUACGUUCCCGGGCCUUGCACACACCGCCCGU
rnacentral:rRNA from 1 species